rnacentral:rRNA from 1 species
UGGGGAAUAUUGGACAAUGGGCGAAAGCCUGAUCCAGCCAUGCCGCGUGUGUGAAGAAGGUCUUCGGAUUGUAAAGCACUUUAAGUUGGGAGGAAGGGCAUUAACCUAAUACGUUAGUGUUUUGACGUUACCGACAGAAUAAGCACCGGCUAACUCUGUGCCAGCAGCCGCGGUAAUACAGAGGGUGCAAGCGUUAAUCGGAAUUACUGGGCGUAAAGCGCGCGUAGGUGGGUUGUUAAGUUGGAUGUGAAAUCCCCGGGCUCAACCUGGGAACUGCAUUCAAAACUGACUGACUAGAGUAUGGUAGAGGGUGGUGGAAUUUCCUGUGUAGCGGUGAAAUGCGUAGAUAUAGGAAGGAACACCAGUGGCGAAGGUGACCACCUGGACUAAUACUGACACUGAGGUGCGAAAGCGUGGGGAGCAAACA